rnacentral:rRNA from 1 species
CUCGUGUCGUGAGAUGUUGGGUUAAGUCCCGCAACGAGCGCAACCCUUGAUCUUAGUUGCCAGCAUUCAGUUGGGCACUCUAAGGUGACUGCCGGUGACAAACCGGAGGAAGGUGGGGAUGACGUCAAAUCAUCAUGCCCCUUAUGACCUGGGCUACACACGUGCUACAAUGGGCAGAACAAAGGGCAGCGAAGCCGCGAGGCUAAGCCAAUCCCACAAAUCUGUUCUCAGUUCGGAUCG